rnacentral:rRNA from 1 species
GCUUUAUAUUGAGUGGUUAAUAGGUUUAGGUGAGGUAACCUAAUAAUUAAUUAAUAUUUUGUUGGGGUGACAGAGAAAUAAAUAAACUUUCUUUUUUAAAAACAAUGGUUGUUGGUUAAAGGAUCCGUGUUUUACGAUUACAAGUUUAAGU